rnacentral:misc_RNA from 1 species
GAUGAAGAACGCAGCGAAAUGCGAUAACUAAUGUGAAUUGCAGAAUUCAGUGAAUCAUCGAGUCUUUGAACGCACAUUGCGCCCCCUGGUAUUCCGGGGGGCAUGCCUGUCCGAGCGUCAUUGCUGCCCUCAAGCACGGCUUGUGCGUUGGGCUCCGUCCCCCCGGGGACGGGCCCGAAAGGCAGCGGCGGCACCGAGUCCGGUCCUCGAGCGUAUGGGGCUUUGUCACCCGCUCUGUAGGCCCGGCCGGCGCCAGCCGACAACCCAUCAUCCUUUUCAGGUUGACCUCGGAUCAGGUAGGGAUACCCGCUGAACUUAAGCAUAUCAAUAAGCGGAGGA